GACAAGUUCAACUGUCAUCUAAUAAAUUUUUAAUAAAAUUUUUUUGUGGAAAAAAUUAACAAAAAACAAAAUUGAUACAGAAUUUUUACAAAAAGUAUAAAACGGUUAGCCUCAUGUAAGUACACCAAUAUAAAAAAAUUAGAGCGCCAGAAAAACAAUACAAUCACGCAGACGACACGCGACUUGCCAAAAAAUAUCAAGUGUUAAUGUCUUUAUGGAGACAGCGCGUUUUACGCUCAAGCCCAACUGAAAAAGCCUCAUCGUAUCAUCGCCCUGGUCAUGUGUCAUAAACAAGUUGCGCGGCGCCGGUGAACACUGAUUUCGAUGAGUGCAAUCCAAUAUUGAUUCUUAGCCCUUAAUGCAUUUUUCCUUCAUUGUUGUUAUAUUGGUUGUGCUGCGUAUUGUGAACAGUGUCUUUUGUAGACGGAAGUGAUUUCUACAACAGGUACAGUGGCGUCGCUUAAGCAAGGGGGUUUCUAAAGAAAACAUUUUACACGGAGGAAGUAGUGAAUGUUCGCUUAGAAUACUUUUUCUUCUACAAAUCUCCAAGUCUGUGAUUUUUUCAAGUAAGGCAGUAAAGGUUAAACUCUUCCAUUCAAAAUAUUUGCCCAAACUAAAUUAGAGAGACUUCCAGAUAUGGAUGACGUCACCAGAAAGUGCUGAUGAGCAGGAGCACAGAAUUCUAUUGCACUUUAACGUGAAAUGCAGCAUUGUCUCCGUCACUCUCUCUCUCCGUCUCUUUAUACUUACCAUACUCUUUAUCUCGUUUUCGUUCUAUCGUGUAUACUGUCUCUCUCUCUCUCUCUAUCGGACGUACUCUCUAUCCCGCUCUCACUUCAUCGUGCAUACUGUAAACGUGAUUUAUCAGUCUUAAUCUUGCACUUGAUAAAGGGGUCUGUCGGACGAAUAAGCAGAGAUGAUCAUACGGGCGUAAGUAACUACGGUACUACAAAAAAGCGUCUAAUAAUGCUUAGAACGGAGACUCACCAGCAACAUUGCAACACUGUUACAUAAAAUGUAACUGUGAUCAAUGACAACGCGGACUCACUGCAAGUCUAAUUGCGGCUAAAGUACCCAAAACAUAACCAAUUGCUGCCUAGAAUAAGGUUAUACAUCUUAUGAAAUAAGUUUUGGUUUAGCUAAAAUUAAAAUAAGACUUAUUAACUAGCUACUCAAAGCAUAGUCACCUCGAUAUGUGUUAUUGUUUUAUUCCAGACUGAGCGUCACACCUUUAAAUGCUACAUAAGAACGAAAUUUUGUCCAUUCUUGGGGGAGUUGCCGGCCAAUCACUGUCAACCAUACAGUACUUACGAAAUUCUUCAGUGAAUAUUUUCUUACGCUACAAUAAUAGCAAGAACGAAAUAUUUAGUAAGAGUCGUAGUGGUAGAUGUUUGUAGGAGAUUUGAUAAAUAUCGUAUAGUUCUAUUUUUUAAUCGAGAACAUGCGAGUAUAUUCAAACCCUAACCAUAAACCCGACAUUGGUGUAAACUGAACCUUUUCACUGGUUGAGUGUACUGUAAACUCAUUGAAGCCUCUCCAAUAAUCCAGACAUUGAAAUAAAUUGAACUCUUUUCACAACUACAAGUAUUAACUAAUUGACGUUUCUACUAACAAAUAAAUGAGAGUUUCAGACUAUUAUUCACAUUAGUAUUUUACUCUACGAUAUUGAUUAUGGCUUAUACGAGAAAAUUAUUCACGUCUCACUCGUUCACUUUGACGAGUCAUUUGCUUAUUUCAAAAAUAUUGUAUUUUGUUUUUUUGACUGACACCUAGAAUUUGGAUUAAUAGAUGACGAAAUUAUCAUUCAUACGGAAACCAAAUGCAAAUCUUCGCUCUAUCACUAGCGCCACUGUUUUUUCUCACUAAAACUCGCUGCAUAUUGACCGCUAGACAUACAACCGCCUUUGAAGAUCGGCUGCUAGUUGCAAACUUAUGUACUCGUACAUUAUGGGCAUGUUGUCGGUAAUCACAAAUAGCCACAGGUGUGGGCGCCAGUUCACUUAUUGUUUCUUAGAUGACAAAGCAAGCGGCUUCAAUGCAAAAGACACUAUGUUUAAGGAUUUGAAAAAAAUGAUUAGAAAAUAUGCUUUGCUUUAAAAUAAAAUUUCUAAUAAGCAUAACGCUAUACGAAAACCGAAAAGCCUGCAUAGCUAUGAAAACCUCUCUUUAACCCCAGCCCUGUUGACUUUUAAGCGCCUAGCGGCAAUAUUAUCCCCGAAAGGAUCCGCUAUUAUUUCGCUUAAUUAAUUGCUGUGCAAAUGUCUCCACUGCUCUGUUGUUGACUGAUGACUGUUGCGUGUUGACAUUUGUGGCAUGACCAAUAUGUAUGGAGUAUAGGCUAACAUAUGUAUAUAUGUGUGUGUACGCAUGUGUAUAACUGCUCUCAUUAGUCUGCCUGUAAACGAAUUUGUUGCCGAAAACGUGAAAACAAUUGAAGUGUCCUUAGAGUAUUACGUAGUCUUGCCUUCCGCCACUCUUUCGUUUGAUAGACGAGUAUGCCUUUGUUUUGCUGUCGACGUCUGCAUUUUUAGCAAAUUUGCAGUUGCAGAAAGCAAAAAAAAAAGAAAACACAAAAAACGAAAUGCAAUGAAGCAGUGUUGAGUGCAGCCUUUAUACGGUUGCGGUUUUUCGAGUGGGUGUGGUAAUUUAAUAAUUGGCAACGAAUUUGAUUUUGAAUGCAGAAGUUGGAAGGGAGUUCGAGUGUAUUAUAGUGAGUUCGAUCAAACUUCGGUUGCGCUUAUUACUUUUACUCAAGCCCCUGCGCCUCGACAAAGCAAUCAACGCUGAAGUUUGGCUUAAGAUAACCUUAAAUUGGGUAGAUUGCUUCAUCGCAGUUCGAGUCCACUUCGAUGCAACUUGUGAAGAAAGUUCAAUUAUAUGCAUUUACAAGAAAUAAAUAUGAUGUAUUAUAUAUAAUAAUUUCACCAACAAGGGGCACCAUAAACAUGAAAAAAUCCUGUAUCAUUUUGAACAAAUUUGCUUAAGAAACUUUGGUGUCGAACCAACCGAAUAGGUUGAAAGUGGCCUAAAUGGGACUUCAACAACAUCUACUGAUAAUAUGACUCCACACUAAAGGACAAUACAUUUCUUCACCAUAAAAUAAUAAUCUUUUCUCUAAAGUGUGCCAGCUCUCUAUUUUUAUUGACCUUGAAAUCACUGCGAACCCUUCAUUAAAAUAUUUCUGAAAUUCUUAAAGACUUGCG